rnacentral:rRNA from 1 species
CUACGGGACGCAGCAGUGAGGAAUAUUGCACAAUGGGGGGAACCCUGAUGCAGCAACGCCGCGUGGAGGAUGACGCAUUUCGGUGUGUAAACUCCUUUUAUAUGUCAAGAAAAUGACGGUAGCAUACGAAUAAGCACCGGCUAACUCCGUGCCAGCAGCCGCGGUAAUACGGAGGGUGCAAGCGUUACUCGGAAUCACUGGGCGUAAAGGACGCGUAGGCGGGUUGGAAAGUCAGGUGUGAAAUCCUACAGCUUAACUGUAGAACUGCACUUGAAACUUCUAAUCUAGAGUAUGGGAGGGGGAGAUGGAAUUAGUGGUGUAGGGGUAAAAUCCGUAGAUAUCACUAGGAAUACCUAAAGCGAAGGCGAUCCCCUGGAACAUUACUGACGCUAAGGCGUGAAAGCGUGGGGAGCAAACAGGAUUAGAUACCCGAGUAGUC